GCAGCAUUUUCGGUACUCGGCGCCAAGCGAAAAAUCAGUUUACAACGGAAAGCACAAAGCGACGGUCGUUAAUAUUUAGACAAGCUACGGGAAAAUUGAAUUAAAAAAAUAUAAUAAAAAAAAUAAAUAAAUAAAAUCCCAAGCAAAAGGGAAUUUAACGUAAAUUUUGCGUGGCAACGAAAAAAGGUGUUGGAAUUCCUCUGAGUGUGUUUGUUGUGUGCAUUAAAUUCCACGAGUUGCCAAAGAAUUUGGCCAGCGAGGCUAAUAAAGCGAUACGUGUCCUGAGCGAAGAAAAACCCGCCCCAAAACCCAGAAGCUAAGCCAACUCAAAGUUUGAAGUCGACGGUUCGUUGGAAAGGCCAAGACAUAGAGUUAAUUGAGAACGUUGAUGGCUGCCACCAAAAUCAUUGAUGCACCGCGAAACGGCCACGAAAUGGCGCCUCUGAACACGAGAGCGCGAGGCGACGGCACCCAUGGGGUGACCAUUGUCCUAACUGCACCGCAGCGCAAUUCGGUGCAGUCGGUGGAUAUACCUGGCGAGCCAGAUCGCGCGGCCUGGAGCGGCAAGAUGCAGUUCUUUCUCAGCAUUAUUGGCUAUUCCGUUGGCCUGGGCAACAUCUGGCGCUUCCCGUACCUAUGCCAGCAGAACGGUGGCGGCGCAUUCCUGAUACCCUUUAUGAUCAUGUUAGUAUUGGAGGGCAUACCGCUCUUCCUCAUCGAGCUGGGCAUGGGACAGCGCAUGCGCCUGGGCGCUCUGGGAGUGUGGAAUACCAUACAUCCCUGGCUGGGCGGCAUCGGCAUCUCCUCGUGCAUUGUGACGCUGUUUGUGGCGUUGUACUAUAACGUGAUCAUCACGUGGGUCUUCUACUAUCUGUUUAACAGUUUUCGAUAUCCGCUGCCUUGGUCAACUUGUCCCACUAAUGGCACUGGCUUUGAGCUGGAGGAGUGCGCGAAGUCCUCGGAGACAACAUAUUUCUGGUACAGAACCACCUUGGAUGCGGCUCCCUCGAUGGAUGAGCCCGGCGGCCUGAAAUGGUGGAUUGUCCUCUGUUUGCUGCUCUCUUGGACCAUCGUCUUUUUCAUUGUGAUGAAGGGCAUCCAGAGCUCCGGCAAGGUGGUCUACUUCACCUCGCUCUUCCCCUACAUUGUGUUGACCAUCUUCUUCAUACGCGGCAUCACGCUGCGCGGAGCCGGCGCCGGACUAAUGCACAUGUAUACGCCGAAGGUGGAGAAACUGCUGGAGCCGACAGUCUGGCUCGACGCGGCCACGCAGGUAUUUUACUCGUUUGGCUUAGCCUUUGGCUCGCUGAUUGCCUUCGGCAGCUACAAUACGCCCAAGAACAACUGCGUCCGAGACGUGCUCCUGGUGUCUGUCUGCAAUGCAGUCACUGCCAUCUACGCGAGUGUCGUCAUCUUCGCUAUACUCGGCUUCAAGGCCACCGUCAACGUGGAUCGCUGUGUGGCCAGCAAUACGGACAUAUUGGUUAAGAAUGCGCUGUUGCCCUUCAAGAAUGCCUCCAGCGAGGAUUACGACUCAGUCAUGCAAAAGAUCAAUGGCACCGAAUUCGAAGCACUGCAUCUCAGUGAGUGCAGCCUGUCCAAAGAGCUGGACAAUGCCGCUGAAGGCACCGGCUUGGCAUUUAUUGUCUUCACUCAGGCUAUUGUCGAGCUGCCGGGCGCACCGUUCUGGGCGGUGCUCUUCUUCACCAUGCUACUGUCGCUGGGUUUGGGCUCACAGAUUGGCAUUCUUGAGGGCAUGCUGUGCACGUUGUUCGACAUAGACAUCAUCAAGCGGGUUAAGAAACAACAUGUCACUGGUGUGGUAUGUCUAUUCUGCUUUAUUGUCGGUUUCAUCUUCUGCACAGGUGCCGGUGAAUAUUGGCUCAAGAUGUUUGAUUCUUUUGCCGGUACAAUUGGCUUGGUUGUAGUCGCCCUUAUGGAAAUGAUAGCAGUCAUAUUUAUCUAUGGCCAUGAGCGCUUCACUGAGGACAUCUAUCAGAUGACAGGCUAUAGACCCGGCGUUUACUGGCAGAUGACCUGGCGCUAUAUUGGUCCAGUUAUCAUGGUCUGCAUUUUGGUCUCCUCUAUAGUCUUCAUGGUCAUACGUAAUCCGACAUAUGGUGCCUGGAAUGCCGAAAAGGGUAUUGUUGAACAGAAGGAUUAUCCGAACUGGGUCAUGGGCAUUGCCCUCGCCAUGAUCUUGGCUGGUGUAUUGCCCAUGCCCAUUGUGUUCCUCAUGCGUAGCUUCCAGUGCCUCAAAGUGGAUCUGGACAUACACCAAGGCUCCAUUAGGCGCAAUGAGACAACCGCUUCAACCAAGGAAAUGAUCGACAACGAUGACGACAAUUUGAGUCCGGAUAUGCCACCGCAAGAUUUAUUAGCGGCCACACGCUUCACAAUUGGAGACUUUGAAAACUAGAAACUGAAGUACUAAACACAUCCAACAAGAUACCUAACCUUAAACAUAACUAACUCAAAAAGUAGCCUACCACAAAAAUGAAAACGAAAAGAACUAAAAAGAAAAGAAUUAACUAAAAGCAACGCCUGACACCCACGCUGUGAGGAUAAAUUUCACGCGCCGUCUGCCUGACUAGAAAUACCCUACAAAAACAAAAGCCGCACACACAUUACGUAACAAUUCGAACCGAUCCGCAUUCGCCACUAAGUAAACUAUGAAUACUUUUAAAGACGCACAGCAAAAUCUUAACAGUAGCAAAGAAAAACGAAAAAAGAAAACAAAAACAAUCGCAAUGCCAUUUAAAUGUAAUAGAGUUUGAUAAACGAUAAGCGAUUAACUUCGAUAACAAGUAUUCGUCAGCGCCUUCUUUACAAAGAACAAAAACAAAACAUAACUUCAAAAGUGAAACCGAGAAAAAAGAAUUACAAUUAUUUACGAGCAAACUAGUUUAGUGCAAUGUUUACGAAUUAAGCUAAAUAUUUAUAAACUAAAGUUUAGACCCGUAACGCUCACCUAGAAAGCUCAAUGUUUAGACCUAGGGCUGUAGCAUUAACAAAGAAACAAUACUUUCGAUUGGCUAAGAAGACGGCUCUGAAUUGCGAAUCCAGAAGCAGGACGACGAUGAGGAUGAUGAGAAUGACUUUAGUGGGCCCGCAUUGGGCGGUCAUGUGAAAACCCAGAGUGAUUUCUCCG
rnacentral:misc_RNA from 1 species